CUACGGGGCGCACCAGUAGGGAAUAUUGGACAAUGGGCGCAAGCCUGAUCCAGCAAUGCCGCGUGUGUGAAGAAGGCCUGUUGGGUUGUAAAGCACUUUUGGUUGGGAAGAAAAGCUGAGGGCGAAUAACCCUUAGUCUUGACGUUACUGACAGAAUAAGCACCGGCUAACUCUGUGCCAGCAGCCGCGGUAAUACAGAGGGUGCGAGCGUUAAUCGAAUUACUGGGCGUAAAUGGUGCGUAGGCGGUUUGGUAAGUCGGAUGUGAAAUCCCAGAGCUCAACUUUGGAAUGGCAUUCGAUACUACCAGACUAGAGUACAGUAGAGGGGAGCGGAAUUCCUAGUGUAGCGGUGAAAUGCGUAGAUAUUAGGAAGAACACCAGUGGCGAAGGCGGCUCCCUGGACUGACACUGACGCUGAGGCACGAAAGCGUGGGUAGCAAACAGGAUUAGAUACCCCUGUAGUC
rnacentral:rRNA from 1 species